GACGAGCCUCACGAACGUUAUUCGGAAUUACUGGGCUUAAAGGGUGCGUAGGCGGCGCGGAAAGUUGGGUGUGAAAUCCCUCGGCUCAACCGAGGAACUGCGCCCAAAACUACCGUGCUCGAGGAAGAUAGAGGUGAGCGGAACUCACGGUGGAGCGGUGAAAUGCGUUGAUACCGUGAGGAACACCCGUGGCGAAAGCGGCUCACUGGGUCUUUUCUGACGCUGAUGCACGAAAGCUAGGGGAGCAAACGGG
rnacentral:rRNA from 1 species